GACGAACGCUGGCGGCGUGCUUAACACAUGCAAGUCGAACGGAAAGGCCCUGCUUUUGUGGGUUGCUCGAGUGGCGAACGGGUGAGUAACACGUGAGUAACCUGCCCUUGACUUUGGGAUAACUUCAGGAAACUUGGGCUAAUACCGGAUAGGAGCUCCUUCUGCAUGGUUGGGGUUGGAAAGUUUCGGCGGUUGGGGAUGGACUCGCGGCGUAUCAGCUUGUUGGUGGGGUAGUGGCUUACCAAGGCUUUGACGGGUAGCCGGCCUGAGAGGGUGACCGGCCACAUUGGGACUGAGAUACGGCCCAGACUCCUACGGGAGGCAGCAGUGGGGAAUAUUGCACAAUGGGCGGAAGCCUGAUGCAGCAACGCCGCGUGCGGGAUGACGGCCUUCGGGUUGUAACCCGCUUUCGCCUGUGACGAAGCGUGAGUGACGGUAAUGGGUAAAGAAGCACCGGCUAACUACGUG
rnacentral:rRNA from 1 species